rnacentral:rRNA from 1 species
UACGUAAGGGGCAAGCGUUAUCCGGAUUUACUGGGUGUAAAGGGAGCGCAGGCGGUAUAGCAAGUCUGAUGUGAAAGGCCGGGGCUUAACCCCGGGACUGCAUUGGAAACUGUUAAACUAGAUUGCAGGAGAGGUAAGUGGAAUUCCUAGUGUAGCGGUGAAAUGCGUAGAUAUUAGGAGGAACACCAGUGGCGAAGGCGGCUUACUGGACUGUAAAUGACGCUGAGGCUCGAAAGCGUGGGGAGCAAAC